rfam:Colius striatus contig20455, whole genome shotgun sequence.
UGGCCGAGGAUGAAAACAAUAAUCUGAUGCCUUCCAUACCUUCAGUGAUACGCAAUAAUCUGAUGGAUUAAAGGAUUUUCUGAGGCCA